rnacentral:rRNA from 1 species
AACGAACGCUGGCGGCAUGCCUAACACAUGCAAGUCGAACGAGACGUUCGGGUCUAGUGGCGCACGGGUGCGUAACGCGUGGGAACCUGCCCUUAGGUUCGGAAUAACUCCCCGAAAGGGGUGUUAAUACCGGAUAAUGUCUUCGGACCAAAGAUUUAUUGCCUCUGGGUGGGCGCGCGUUGGUUUAGCUAGUUGGUAGGGUAAAAGCCUACCAAGGCGACGAUCCAUAGCUGGUGUGAGAGGAUGAUCAGCCACACUGGGACUGAGACACGGCCCAGACCCCUACGGGGAGCAGCAGUGGGUAAUAUUGGACAAUGGGCGAAAGCCUGAUCCAGCAACGCCGCGUAAGUGAUGAAGGCCUUAGGGUUGUAAAGCUCUUUUGCACGGAGUGAUAAUGACAGUACCGGGAGAAUAAGCUCCGGCUAACUACGUG